rnacentral:lncRNA from 1 species
AUCUGUCUCCCUUGCCUAAGUCAAAGGACCACCGCCUGGUCAAGGCACAUAGGGACAAAAGGCUGUUUGUUCUGUGAGAGUCAAGGUAGAGAGAAGCGGUACAUGGCUUUCUCCUCCACAGUCUGGGUGAGUCUGGGGACACCAGAGUGAAGAAGCACAGAUGUGAGGUCCUCAAAGCAGAGGAUCCUGAGAAGAACGUGAUCUGCAGCUAUCUGAGCUUUUUGGUCAGCAGAGAUUACAACUCAUCCUAAUCUCACCCAAGGCAAGGAGACCAAUAAGGAGGAGAUUAAGAUGUGAGACCACGCCUGGGCCUGGGAAAGCCUGAGGAGAUACAGAGUAGGGAGAAUAUUUCAUAUUCCAUGGCCUUACAAGUGUAGGGGAGAAAAAAGUUUUCCUUGACUCCCUUAGGGUACUAGCCUGAGUCUGAAGAUUAAACUGACAAAGACAGAUUAACAGGAGAAAGGCAUAUAAAUUUUACUGAAUAUUUGCAUGUGCACGGGAGCCUUUACAAGAGAAUGACGACCCAAAGAAAUGACCAGAACUGGAAGCUUUUAUACCUUUUAUACAAAGAAACAACAAAUUUGGAAAGAAUGGACAAGACAAGGUGUUUGGGCUAUGGGUAGUAAAUGGUAAAGAAGUAAUAAGGUUUGUUUAUACAGGCUUCUCCAUCCUAUAUUCCUUGUCUGCUGAUAACCAUGUCUUUUAUCCUCCUAAUAUAAGGAGGGUACUUUUCACAUGAGAGAUUUCAGGUGCACAAAGAAGAGUCAAGGUGUCCUUCUUGUACUGGCUAUUUCUUAAGUACCUUUACUUCAAAAUAAUCACUAUGCCAAAGUGGAUAUUUUAGAGUGACAUAUUUGCCACCCUUUACAAGUCUCACUUCUUACUGUUGGCAUAUGUAAUAAAAAGUUUUCACGCUUUACCCACUGAAAGAUUGUAUCUGCACAGGGUAAGCACGGAACCGAACCUGAGCCCCAGUGAGCCGACUCACUCCAUGAAGAACAGUAACAGACUGUGUAAGCAGGUCCAGGAGCGUCAGAGAAGAUCUGUCACAGCAUGUACAUGUAUGAGGCUAACAGACCUGCUGGAUGAAACAGAAGACAGGAAGAGUGAGCUUGAAGACAGGGCAGUAGGACUCAUCCACUCAGAGCAGUAAAAAGAAAAAAGAUGAAAAGCAAUGAAGAUAGCUUAAGGAAAUUAUGGGACAACAUCAAGCAGAUCUAAUUUUGCCUUAUAGGUGUCCCAGAAGGAGAAGAGUGAGAGACAGCUGCAGAAAUCUUUUUGGAAAAAAUAGUGACUGAAAGUCUCCCUAACCUGAGGAACGAGAUCCAGAUCCAAGAAGUCCAGAGAGUUCAAAAUAAGAUGAAUGCAAAAAAACUCACUCCAAGAUACAUUAUAGUGAAAGUGUUAAAAUUUAAAGGACAGAAUCUUAAAAACAGCAAGAGUGAAACAAAUUGUUAUGUACAAGGGAAUCCCCAUUAGACUAUGAGCAGAUUUUUCAGCAGAAACUUUGCAGGCUAGAAGUGUGUGGCCUAAUAGAAAAAACUGCCAGCCAAGAAUACUCUGCCUGGCAAAAUUAUCCUUCAUAAUCAAAGGAAAGAUUAAGAACUUUCCAGUCAAAGAAAAGUUGAAGAAUUCAUCACCACUAAACUGGCCUUACAAGAAUUGUUAAAGGUACUUCUCUAACCUGAAAUGAAAGGGUGCAAAUUAGUAACAGGAGAACAAUGGAAAUAUAAUUGACACUGGUAAGGUAAAUAUAAAGUAAAAUGCAGAAUUAUUUAAUGUUGAAAUGCUGGUGGUUUAAUCACUUAUCAAGUUAGCAUGAAGGUUAAAAAACAAAAGUAGUAAAAUUAACUAUAAUUACAAUAAUUUAAGGGAUACACAAGAUAAAAAUAUGUAAAUUAUAAAAUAAAAAUAAUAAAACUGGGUAGGGAGAGUAAAAA